CUCCAUGGACUGUAAUUGUGAGCACUUGUUCAGCACAGACUCAGCUGGGGAAUAAGCACACAGCUGCUGCUCAACAAAAUGUAAGUGAUUAAAAAGGUUUUCCUUGUUCAGAUAUAAUCUGAAGAUUCUGGGAAUCAAGAGGCUCUGCAGGGGAUCCAUCAGGACCCUCACCCCCAUCCCCAAAUGCCCCAUCUAAAAGGGGUUGUGGUCAGGACCUGACCAGGCACACUCUGAUUCUCUUGUCAGUGCGGGUUGUGGGCGAACAGGCGUCCUGUGCACCGUGGAUUAUGUGAGGCAGCUGCUCCUGACCCAGAUGAUCCCACCUGACUUCAGUCUCUUUGAUGUGGUCCUUAAGAUGAGGAAGCAGCGGCCUGCGGCCGUGCAGACAGAGGAGCAGUACAGGUUCCUGUACCACACGGUGGCUCAGAUGUUCUGCUCCACGCUCCAGAAUGCCAGCCCCCACUACCAGAACAUCAAAGAGAAUUGUGCCCCACUCUACGACGAUGCCCUCUUCCUCCAGACUCCCCAGGCACUUCUCGCCAUACCCCGCCCACCAGGAGGGGUCCUCAGGAGCAUCUCUGUGCCCGGGUCCCCGGGCCACGCCAUGGCUGACAUCUACGCGGUGGUGCAGAAGCGCGGGGCUCCAGCGGGCGCCGGGCGUGGGACGCAGACGGGGACGGGGGCGCGCAGCGCGGACGAGGCGCCGCUCUACAGCCAGGUGACGCCGCGCGCCCAGCGACCCGGGG
rnacentral:sRNA from 1 species